CCGGGAUUAAAAACUUAACUCGUCCCAAUGGGAUCAUGGCAGUCAUCAAACGUCCAUCACAUGACGGCUGAAUGCAUUAGGGAUGUGACCAGAGCAAGGCUAUUGUUGGGCUGAUCAGAAUGAAAAUGAAAAUGAGACUGACUUCCAAUAAUUCUGAAAGCCUGCUUCCAUUGUUCCUGUUCUUUCAUCCUGUCAGGGGAAAUUGAUGGAGUGCACUGCGGUCUAGAAAUGGGAGGAAGAACUGCAGAUAAAGGAAUAAUGCCAUAGCACUGAAGUGAAGAAGAUCCACUCUCCAGGGAACACAUCUCAACAGACUCAGACACAUGGGAGAAUUGCAGCUUGGUCUUCGCCCACAAAAUUACAUUUGAGGUCCGCUGGGACAUCAGCCGAUGGGUGCUUGGUGGGAUGCAGUGAAUUCUGAGAAUUUUUGCUGCUAAUUAGCAUGGCCUAACUAACAUUGAAGCAGGAAAUGAACUUCACUUCUAUUUUUAGGUAUUGUGCAGGGAGAAGUGCACAGAGAUCAGUAAGAGGACCCUGGAUUUCAUCAGGAGUGACUGUAAUAACUCCAUGUGAGCUUGAAUUAAUGAUCAGGUAUGUGCUCCCAAGGCACAGUGAGUCACACUGAGUUUUAUAAAAGCACCUCAUUCAUUUCUGACCUUUGAAAGCUUAAGACCAACCUCACAUUUGCAUUAUAAGCAAACGCUCAGAUCAUUAUAAGUCGCUCCAGGAUAAAAAGUUGAGUUGGCCUUUUUCUUCCCGAGACCUUAGUGUUUUUUUAUUUUUUGCAUGCAUGCUCUGAGUUUGGCAAUAAGAAAAAUCUGUCAGGCCAGAGGCACAACAGAACUUGAAUGAAGUUAAAUAUACAAAUCUGUUGAUGCCACUGAGAAUACCAUUUCUUAUGUUACACUGUAGAGAAAACAUUAAUUGAUCAAGUAUUCUGAAGUUCUAGCUUUCAGGUCACUCUAUGCACCUUUCUUUCUAAACUUAAGUUAAACUUAAUAGCAAGUUAGUUGGACUGACGCAAUUUUUUUUUUUUUAAAAAUAGGCCUGAAAAUGGUUUGUGGUUCAGUCCCAGUUGCCCUUUCCCCAGUAUGAAGUAGGUCAUGAAUAAUUUAUGUGGUUGCACUGUUUUAAUGUUUACACUGUUUUUGUUUUUGUCAUGUUUUAGUAACUUUUUGAUUUGUGAUGUUUUGACUUGCGUCCUGUUAAAAAGAGCACUUGAUUGAGUGUAACCCUUGUUGUUUCAUGGAUCAAGUAUUGUGUGUGUGUGUGUAUGUGUGUGUUCCAUUUCCCACUAUUUUCUUUUCUUUUCAUUUUUUUUGUCAAGUGAGUGUUCAAACGAUGCAUAUUCAUGUAAAGCUGUGAAUAGAUUAAACGAGUAGCUCACCAAACAACUUUGUCACCAUUUACUCAUCCUCAUGUCAUUCCAAAACAUUUUCUUCUGCAGAACACAAAAGAAGAUAUUUUGAAGAACUGCUCUUUCCCAUAAAAUGAAAGUCAGUGGGGUGAACAAAGCUGACUAUUAUUUUAUGAAUAAUUUUAUUUUAUGAAUUAUUUUAUGAAUAAAAGUUUUUAAACUUAGUUUAAAAACUGUAUC
ensembl:lncRNA